CAGCUACAUACAAAAGUAAUGUUUUUCUUUAGGGUUAUUAUUUUCAUGGCUCAAUUGUUGACAUUUAGGUAGAAUAUGUAUAAAAUGAACUUUUGGUGAAAAGAUUUUCACAAAAUGUUCAUUUUUCAUGAGUCUAUACUUCUUUUCCUGUCUGCGGCACUGCAUGAUUAAUUGAAAUUUCCAUAUUUGGGUUAAAAAUUUGUUUAAAAAGUAGAAUUUUUCUAAAACUAUCCAUCA
rnacentral:lncRNA from 1 species